AACAGACCUGGACAUCAUGAGUCAGUGGCGUACGGGUGAGUACACGUGGGUGAUCUACCUCUUAGUGAGGACUAACCCUGGUGAAAUCGGGGCUAAUAUCGCAUAAUCCUGAUAAUGGAAAUCAGCAAUGCUCUGAGAGAGGAGCCCGCGGCCGAUUAGCUAGUUGGUGGGGUAAAGGCCCACCAAUGCAUAGAUCGGUAUCCGGCCUGAGAGGGCACACGGCCACACUGGCACUGAAACACGGGCCAGACUCCUACGGGAGGCAGCAGUGGGGGAUCUUGCUCAAUGGGGGAAACCCUGAUGCUUCUACUCCGCGUGAGCGAUGAAGCCCUUCGGGGUGUAAAGCUCUUUCGUCAGGGAAGAUCAUGACUGUACCUGUAGAAUCAGCUGCGGCUAACUACGUGCCAUCAGCCGCGGUAAU
rnacentral:rRNA from 1 species